AACAUACCACUUGUUGCCUCGGCGGAUCAGCCCGCUCCCGGUAAAACGGGACGGCCCGCCAGAGGACCCCUAAACUCUGUUUCUAUAUGUAACUUCUGAGUAAAACCAUAAAUAAAUUAAAACUUUCAACAACGGAUCUCUUGGUUCUGGCAUCGAUGAAGAACGCAGCAAAAUGCGAUAAGUAAUGUGAAUUGCAGAAUUCAGUGAAUCAUCGAAUCUUUGAACGCACAUUGCGCCCGCCAGUAUUCUGGCGGGCAUGCCUGUUCGAGCGUCAUUUCAACCCUCAAGCACAGCUUGGUGUUGGGACUCGCGUUAAUUCGCGUUCCUCAAAUUGAUUGGCGGUCACGUCGAGCUUCCAUAGCGUAGUAGUAAAACCCUCGUUACUGGUAAUCGUCGCGGCCACGCCGUUAAACCCCAACUUCUGAAUGUUGACCUCGGAUCAGGUAGGAAUACCCGCUGAACUUAAGCAUAUCAAUAAGCGGAGGA
rnacentral:rRNA from 1 species